rnacentral:rRNA from 1 species
CUUGAGGGGGAAAGUGGGGGAUCGCAAGACCUCACGUUAUUCGAGCGGCCGACGUCUGAUUAGCUAGUUGGUGGGGUAAAGGCCUACCAAGGCGACGAUCAGUAGCGGGUCUGAGAGGAUGAUCCGUCACACUGGAACUGAGACAAGGUCCAGACUCCUACGGGAGGCAGCAGUGGGGAAUUUUGGACAAUGGGGGCAACCCUGAUCCAGCCAUUCCGCGUGAGUGAAGAAGGCCUUCGGGUUGUAAAGCUCUUUCAGCCGGAACGAAACGGUAUUCCUUAAUACGGGAUGCUAAUGACGGUACCGGCAGAAGAAGCACCGGCUAACUACGUGCCAGCAGCCGCGGUAAUACGUAGGGUGCGAGCGUUAAUCGGAAUUACUGGGCGUAAAGCGUGCGCAGGCGGAUUGUUAAGCAAGAUGUGAAAUCCCCGGGCUUAACCUGGGAAUGGCAUUUUGAACUGGCAGUCUAGAGUGUGUCAGAGGGGGGUGGAAUUCCACGUGUAGCAGUGAAAUGCGUAGAUAUGUGGAGGAACACCAAUGGCGAAGGCAGCCCCCUGGGAUAACACUGACGCUCAUGUACGAAAGCGUGGGUAGCAAACAGGAUUAGAUACCCUGGUAGUCCACGCCCUAAACGAUGUCAACUGGUUGUUGGGGGAGUGAAAUCCCUUAGUAACGAAGCUAACGCGUGAAGUUGACCGCCUGGGGAGUACGGUCGCAAGAUUAAAACUCAAAGGAAUUGACGGGACCCGCACAAGCGGUGGAUGAUGUGGAUUAAUUCGAUGCAACGCGAAAAACCUUACCUACCCUUGACAUGUCCAGAAUCCUGCAGAGAUGCGGGAGUGCCCGAAAGGGAAUUGGAACACAGGUGCUGCAUGGCUGUCGUCAGCUCGUGUCGUGAGAUGUUGGGUUAAGUCCCGCAACGAGCGCAACCCUUAUCAUUAGUUGCUACGCAAGGGCACUCUAAUGAGACUGCCGGUGACAAACCGGAGGAAGGUGGGGAUGACGUCAAGUCCUCAUGGCCCUUAUGGGUAGGGCUUCACACGUCAUACAAUGGUCGGUACAGAGGGUUGCCAAGCCGCGAGGUGGAGCCAAUCCCAGAAAGCCGAUCGUAGUCCGGAUUGUUCUCUGCAACUCGAGAGCAUGAAGUCGGAAUCGCUAGUAAUCGCGGAUCAGAAUGUCGCGGUGAAUACGUUCCCGGGUCUUGUACACACCGCCCGUCACACCAUGGGAGUGGAAUCUGCCAGAAGUAGGUAGCCUAACCGCAAGGAGGGCGCUUACCACGGUGGGUUUCAUGACUGGGGUGAAGUCGUAACAAGGUA